rnacentral:rRNA from 1 species
UACGUAGGGCGCGAGCGUUGUCCGGAUUUAUUGGGCGUAAAGAGCUCGUAGGCGGCUUGUCGCGUCGAAUGUGAAAUCUCAGGGCUCAACUCUGACAUUGCAUUCGAUACGGGCAGGCUAGAGUUCGGUAGGGGAGAGUGGAAUUCCUGGUGUAGCGGUGAAAUGCGCAGAUAUCAGGAGGAACACCGGUGGCGAAGGCGGGUCUCUGGGCCGAUACUGACGCUGAGGAGCGAAAGCGUGGGGAGCGAACAGG